UGCGCACUACCUCCCUCUCUUUUGACGCCAUUUUGGUUUUUGACGGUGAAGAAGAAGUACUGAAAUAAUGCCGUCUGUUAACGAAUUAAGAACACUUACAAAACAUUAUUCAAAGAUUGGACGAUUGUGGGUACCAACUUUGAGUGCUUGGGGAAUUCUUGGAGGUGCAACACUUCUUUACCUGACAGACUGGAAAGUUGUCAUGAAACAUGUCCCAUUUGUGGGAAGGAAAUAUGACCAUGAAAAGCCAAGAUAAUCAAAAUAAUAGGUGUUGCKYUGUACAAAAUUUAGGAAAUGUCAGAAGCCACCCAAACAUCAAGAAAAUUUAUUGGAGAAUUUGUUACRAUAUUCAUUCAUAUGAUAUUGUAAAAAUGUUUGGCAAAUUAAUACAAUUGGAUUAAAGUCGUUUACUUUUUAUUAA